rnacentral:rRNA from 1 species
AGCCUGACCUCCACUUCUAACACUGUGCACUUGAUGGCGAGGUAAUGGAACUUUCGAGUGAAACUACCUUGCGGCUUCAUUUUAAACAUUAGUCAAAGUAUGUCAUGAAAUAAAAAACAAAAAAAAACUUUCAACAACGGAUCUCUUGGCUCUCGCAUCGAUGAAGAACGCAGCGAAAUGUGAUAAGUAAUGUGAAUUGCAGAAUUCAGUGAAUCAUCGAAUCUUUGAACGCACCUUGCGCUCCCUGGUAUUCCGGGGAGCAUGCCUGUUUGAGUGUCAUGAACUCUUCAACCCACCAGUUUCUAGUAGACUGCGUUGGUGUUUGGAUUUUGAGCGUUGCUAGUCUGACUAGCUCGUUCGUAAUAUAUUAGCAUCUCUAAUUCGAAUUCGGAUUGACUCAGUGUAAUAGACUAUUCGCUGAGGACACUUUUAUUAGUGGCCGUACUAGAACCAGUAGAAGCUUCCAACUAUUGUAGUCAACUUUAAUUUAGACCUCAGAUCAGGCAGGAUUACCCGCUGAACUUAAGCAUAUCAAUAAGCGGAGGAAAAG